GCUGCUGUGCGCGUGUUUGUGAAUGGUGUUGCGUCUGACUGCGUGAAUGUAGAAUGCGUGUGAUUUUUCUCUAAAAGCUACACAUUGAUCUUAUUUGAUCCGGUUCUAGCUGUGGCCCGACUGUGACCGGAAGUGAUAAGAAAAGCGCCUUUUUAGCCUCGGCGGCGAUGAGGAACAGGCACGAGUUCGACGUUAAGGGCCUCCACUCUUAUAAAGUUGUGGUCAGAAAUGAUGAAUUGAUCAGAUAUACUAGUUCGGAAUGGGUUUGGUUUCUUUCCAAAUUCCACGACGGACACUGAGUAAAGAGGCGAUUCUGAUCUAA